rnacentral:rRNA from 1 species
UACAGAGGGUGCUAGCGUUGCUCGGAAUCACUGGGCGUAAAGGGUGCGUAGGCGGGUCUUUAAGUCAGAGGUGAAAUCCUGGAGCUCAACUCCAGAACUGCCUUUGAUACUGAAGAUCUUGAGUUCGGGAGAGGUGAGUGGAACUGCGAGUGUAGAGGUGAAAUUCGUAGAUAUUCGCAAGAACACCAGUGGCGAAGGCGGCUCACUGGCCCGAUACUGACGCUGAGGCACGAAAGCGUGGGGAGCAAACAGG